AACGAACGCUGGCGGCAUGCCUAACACAUGCAAGUCGAACGAGACCUCCGGGACUAGUGGCGCUCGGGUGCGUAACGCGGGGGAACCUGCCCUUAGGCUCGGAAUAACUCUCCGAAAGGGGUGCUAACAUCGGAUAAUGUCCUCGGACAAAAGAUUUAUCGUCUUUGGAUGGGCCGGCGUUGGAUUAGCUUGUUGGUAGGGUAAAAGCCUACCAAGGCGACGAUACAUAGCUGGUCUGAGAGGAUGAUCCGCCACACUUGGACUGAGACACGGCCCAGACUCCUACGGGAGGCAGGAAUGGGGGAUAUUGGACAAUGGCGGAAAGCCUGAUCCAGCAAUGCCGCGUGAGUGAUGAAGGCCUUAGGGUUGUAAAGCUCUUUUACCCGGGAUGGUAAUGACAGUACCGGGAGAAUAAGCACCGGCUAACUCCGUG
rnacentral:rRNA from 1 species